GGCCGGGCAGCGCCGGCACCUGCUCAGGUACCCCCUCCUGCAUCCCAGAUACCUGCUCAGGUACCCCCUCCUGACCCCCGCACCUGCUCAGGUACCUCCUCCUGACCCCCGCACCUGCUCAGGUACCUCCUCCUACAUCCCCCGCACCUGCUCAGGUACCUCCUACUGCAUCCCCCGCACCUGCUCAGGUACCUGCUCAGGUACCUCCUCCUACAUCCCAGGUACCAGCUCAGGUACCUCCUCCUGACCCCCCGUACCUGCUCAGGUACCUCCUCCUGACCCCCCGUACCUGCUCAGGUACAUCCUCCUGCAUCCCAGGUACCUGCCUUGGUACCUUCUCCUGACCCCCCGUCUCUGCUCUGGUACCUGCUCAGGUGCCUUCUCUUGCACCUUCGGUAGCUGUCCCGGUAGUUCCCCUGCAGCCCCGCUCCCUGCCCUGCCGUGUCCCCGUGCGGUGCAGCCCUGGUGCCCGGCAGUGCCGGGCUCAGUGCAGGAUCUGGGUGAGCACACGGUGUAAGUCAUUGCCGACUGGUCAAGCAAUAAUUACCACCCAAUCCUCACACCCCUGACAUCUUGUUUGUCCAGCAGAACCACGAAAGCACAUCAGGGUUUUUGCGAACAGACUUCCCUGGGUGGUUUGUCGGAUAUUCCAGCUUUUCAAAGUGCUGAAAUACUGCCCUGGAUGGCCCAACCAGCUUAAAAGUGACAUCAACUAUUCCUAUGCAAUUUUCUUUUCAUGAUGUCCGUUACACGUGGAUUUCAAAGCACUUGUGCAAGAAAAUUAAACUGAUCAAGACUGUAAAGUUGAUCCAUAGAAGAGCAAAAGACUGACUUGCACAAAUUCACACCUCAGGUUUCUGCCUGCUCCUGGUCCCUGAUUUCUCUUUUGGAUCCCACCAGAAUGUCCCAGCGGUGUCGUUCCAGCCCUUGCCUUCCGGAGGAGGUGAAGCACCAGCAGAGGCUGCCCAAAGAGGCAGCGGGAAUUUCCUCCUUGAAGAGUCUCAGAACUUGACAAGGCACUGAGCAACUUGACCGACUUUGAACUCAGCCCUGCCCCAAAGAGGAGAGGAGACUAAAGGCUCCACAGGGCCUUUAGGCCACAACCUAAACUGUAUCUAAGGGCAGCAAUGGAACAUGAGGGGAGAACAGCAGAGGUGCUGAAACUUUGCCCCCUACUUUGCAGACACUUCAAUUUCAAAAUUUUUCUGAGCAGUUUUCUACCUGUUGUUUUCCUAGUAAGUGCACAUUACAGAAACCAUUGUGGUUUUAUCCGAACCAAUGGGUUAAAUCUUGAUCUGUUACAUCAGUGAGAACUUUGGGGCAAAAGCCAGGGAUGAUUUUCACCACUAUGCUGAAAACAUGCCCUGAAACAGGCUCUCUGUACAACACCACCACUCAGAGAAAGAGAUCAGGAGCUUUUGUUACUACGAUGACCAUAAGCUUUGAUCUGUGACCUCAAAAACACUUUCACAGCAUAAUCUCUAGUGGGCCACCAAAAGGCUAUGUCUUUUCUCUAGAUGAAAAAGAUAGUUAGUAACAGAUAAUUUAAAAGGCUGACAUUCAGCUUGGAAAUUACUGAAGAAAAACAACUUAAUAUUUCUGCUUAGGUGUAAGAUUCUUACCCUGCUUGAAGACCAGACUGACUUUUUACACAAGCAGUUUUUCCAUUUAUACUGUGACUUUGAGGUACACUGUCUGUUUGCAGCUCAGUAACUGAACAUGGAUUAUUCCUCUGUUCAGUUUGUCUGGUAGAAGCUGCAUCCAUAGUGUUCACUGUUUCAUUUUUUUGUGGAGCAGAAGUUGCAGAUGGAGCAAGAACCUGAUUAUUCAACUUUGAGGUCAAUUGUGGACAGCAGACUUCUUUAUGUGUUCUUUCUGUGUGCAUCUUUGGAUCAGCAGGAUUCACUUCAUGGGAUUCUAAUGCUUCAGAAUUGGCUACUGAAGAUUCAUCUACAAGUAUUUCUCCUUGCACUCUUCCCUGUAUUGAAAAAUACUGGUUAGUGACUAUGUGAGCUCUGUAAAAAUGCUAAAUAAAUCUAGUAACAGGAUUAACUAGAUAGUGUAACUCCGAGGGUAAAGCAAAUUCCAGAGAAGCUUCAGAAAACCCCCUGACCGAGCUGAGAGCCAACAAGACAGCAAUGCCACUGAAGGUGCUGAAGGGGUACUUACUAAGUGGUAAUUUCAGACUGAAGCAAUGAAUUUGCUACUAAUGCAAGGCACUGCUAGAACUUAAGAUCCAUCUAAAUAACUCAUAAACUUGCUGUUCCAAACCCACAGAUAUUUAGCAGCUAUAAAGCACAAGGGAAAUAUGAAACAGCUUUAUCUCAGCUUAUGUUUACAUUCUCCUUUAUCAUCUAUCCCACCCCAGCUGUACAACCCUGAGCAUUUCAAGCAUGCAAAUAUUAAAGUUAUAGGUUUGAAUGUCCAGCAAUUAAAAAUAAACUCAUUUUCUUCUUUUUCUGUCUUAUAAAAAAUCUGGUUUUACAAUAAAAUAGAAUACUUCAUAAAAUAGAGGUGCCCCCAUUCUCUGCACACCUGUAACUCGGCCUGAUCUACAAUAAUGAUAAAAGUUGCAGGUUGCAGUUUCAUACAAAUCCAAUGUUUUUCCUGGUGUUUUUGCUCACAUUGAAAUUAUCUUAAAGGUUUACUUUCUCUUUCUCGCUAAACUCCGGAAAGAUGUGAUUAGUUUUAUCCUAUUUUGGUAAAUAGGCCAACCUCAUCAUGCUCUUUUUCCAUCAAGUUUAUUCUGUGUAAAAUUUCUUUUGCUUUCUUCCAGUAGUCUUGUAGACAUCUUUUUCUGACUUGCACACCCAACUCUUCUGCAUUGUUCACAUUUAAUGAGUUAUCAUAUGAUUUCAGAGACAACUGCUCAGCUUUAAAAUAUAAAACAACAUUAAUAUUUAAAAUUUUAUCAAUUAACAUCUCAAAAAGUAUUUAUCAUAUUUUAGUGGGUGACAGCCCCAAUAAUUUAAUGCAAAAUAACAAUUUUAGUAAAACUUAAAUUUAUAUAUAAAUGUUAACACACUUCAAAUAUAAGCUGCAGUUACAAGAGGUGAGCUUGUAAUUACAGUUACUAUAAAUUGUUUGCACAAUGAUGCUGUGGAAAAAAUACUUUUUCAUUGAUUUAAACCUAACCCUAUAGGUUUUUAACCCGUAUGAGUCUCUGCUUUUUCAAAAAGCAGUUCCAUAUUAAUGGACACUACAAAUCCCAACACUCUCUCAAUCUUACACAAAACUCUCAGUUAUGCUUUCAGCACAAAAGUGUAGAUACAGGUUUGUUUUUUACUAAAUAGGAAUUGAAUACCUUCCAUGCUCUAGUGAUUAGAAGAAAAGGUAUCUCUGUUUCAUUGGUAGUAUUGUACAAAUAAUUAAUAAAAGCUUAGUGUACCUUAAAAUAAGGGUGUAUUUCAAAAGAAGGGUGUACUUCAAAAAGAAAGAUCAGGAUUUCUUAAUACUGGAAAUGAAUGUAGUCACAGUGAUUUCAGGCUUGAUUGUCUCUGGUUUAUUUGCUCUCUCUAGUGGUACAUCCCCAGGAGGAGAGCAUCCAUGGGGUGUUCAAUGACAAUGUUAGUAUUUUCCACAAAAUUUCUAGACGGGAAAGCUUUUAAGAACUGGCCCUACAUGGAGAGGUUUCACAAAUGCAUUAUUGCAACAUCACUGGAAUUUUUACUUCUCUUUUUUCUGCCUAAGACAGUUCUUCAUUGCAAAUAGGCAACUUUCUCUGCAGAAAACAAACAUCUUUUGGAGUACACAGAAUUACAAAGCUGCCACAGUUAAAAUCACUUAGGGAAUCAGCAGAACACAGAGAUGGAAAUAAUCACUGUCAUUUUUAAAGCAAAAACAGCAAGCUUACUCAUUUGUUUGCAGUUCUGCAGCACAAAAGUAGCAGCUUUGAUGAGUUCCUCGUCCUGAGAUUCUGUCAAUACCUGAAUCAUAAGUGGCAGACCAUUGUUCUGGAGCAGUUCACACUGGUUUUCUUCUACAACAGGACAUGGUAAAGGAAAAUAGGCUGGUUUCAGCCUCAGACACCUUAACCUCACAGUAAUUUUAAGAGCUAAUAGUAGCAACUUUCCAUAAGUUUCUGUAGAAAAAGAGAUUUGCAUUACAGACCUGAGCCUGCUGCAAUGACCCAGCAGGAGAGCUUUACACCACACAGGAUGAUUUGACAAGAACUCAAAUUUCUGUAAGAAAACUGAAGGAUGACUGAGACAAAUUAUAUGAUGGAGUUCCAAGCUCGCUUAAUUGUGGCCUAAAACAUUCGAAUUAUGACUUCUCUUCCUCCAUUACCUGCUCCUGGAGUAGAUAAUGCUACAUUUCUGUAAGCCCUGAGAUGUAGAAAUAUCAAAACCUUAGAGUUUAUAAUUAGCAAAACUCUAAUAAAAUUAGUAGUUUAAUCCUG